CGAAAGCCUGACGGAGCAAUACCGCGUGAGGGAGGAAUGCCUUUGGGUUGUAAACCUCUUUUCUCAGGGAAGAAGAUCUGACGGUACCUGAGGAAUAAGCAUCGGCUAACUCCGUGCCAGCAGCCGCGGUAAUACGGAGGAUGCAAGCGUUAUCCGGAAUUAUUGGGCGUAAAGCGUCCGCAGGUGGUUCUUCAAGUCUGCUGUCAAAGACCAGAGCUUAACUCUGGAAAGGCAGUGGAAACUGGGGAACUAGAGUUCGGUAGGGGUAGCGGGAAUUCCCAGUGUAGCGGUGAAAUGCGUAGAUAUUGGGAAGAACAUCGGUGGCGAAGGCGCGCUACUGGACCGAAACUGACACUCAGGGACGAAAGCUAGGGGAGCGAAAGGGAUUAGAUACCCCUGUAGUCCUAGCUGUAAACGAUG
rnacentral:rRNA from 1 species